rnacentral:rRNA from 1 species
AAAUAUUUAUAGGAUAGAGAUGGGCUCGCGUGACAUUAGCUAGUUGGUAGGGUAACGGCUUACCAAGGCGACGAUGUCUAGGGGCUCUGAGAGGAGAAUCCCCCACACUGGUACUGAGACACGGACCAGACUCCUACGGGAGGCAGCAGUAAGGAAUAUUGGUCAAUGGGCGGAAGCCUGAACCAGCCAUGCCGCGUGCAGGAUGACUGCCCUAUGGGUUGUAAACUGCUUUUGUCCAGGAAUAAACCCAGAUACGUGUAUCUGGCUGAAUGUACUGGAAGAAUAAGGAUCGGCUAACUCCGUGCCAGCAGCCGCGGUAAUACGGAGGAUCCGAGCGUUAUCCGGAUUUAUUGGGUUUAAAGGGUGCGUAGGCGGCCAAUUAAGUCAGGGGUGAAAUACGGUGGCUCAACCAUCGCAGUGCCUUUGAUACUGAUUGGCUUGAAUCCAUUUGAAGUGGGCGGAAUAAGACAAGUAGCGGUGAAAUGCAUAGAUAUGUCUUAGAACUCCGAUUGCGAAGGCAGCUCACUAAGCUGGUAUUGACGCUGAUGCACGAAAGCGUGGGGAUCGAACAGGAUUAGAUACCCUGGUAGUCCACGCCCUAAACGAUGAUAACUCGAUGUUGGCGAUAGACAGCCAGCGUCCCAGCGAAAGCGUUAAGUUAUCCACCUGGGGAGUACGCCCGCAAGGGUGAAACUCAAAGGAAUUGACGGGGGCCCGCACAAGCGGAGGAGCAUGUGGUUUAAUUCGAUGAUACGCGAGGAACCUUACCCGGGCUUGAAAGUUAGUGAAGGAUGCAGAGACGCAUCCGUCCUUCGGGACACGAAACUAGGUGCUGCAUGGCUGUCGUCAGCUCGUGCCGUGAGGUGUUGGGUUAAGUCCCGCAACGAGCGCAACCCCUAUGUUUAGUUGCCAGCAUUUAAGGUGGGGACUCUAAACAGACUGCCUGCGCAAGCAGAGAGGAAGGUGGGGACGACGUCAAGUCAUCAUGGCCCUUACGUCCGGGGCUACACACGUGCUACAAUGGAUGGUACAGCGGGCAGCUACAUAGCAAUAUGAUGCUAAUCUCUAAAAGCCAUUCACAGUUCGGAU